rnacentral:rRNA from 1 species
GUCUACGGCCAUGCUACCCUGAACAAGCCUGAUCCCGUCUGAUCUCGGAAGCUAAGCAGGGUUGGGCCUGGUUAGUACUUGGAUGGGAGACCACCUAGGAAAAUCAGGUGCUGUAGGCA